GUGCUCGCUUCGGCAACCCGUAUACUAAAAUUGGAACGAUACAGAGAAGGUUGGCAAGGCCCCCGCGUUAGGAUCACAUGCAAAUUCAUAAAGCGUUUGAUAAAGAA